CUUGUGACUCCGCAUAUCGUCCUACGGGAGAAAGGGGGCUUUGGCUCCCGCUAUCGGAUGAGCCUAUGCCGGAUUAGCUGGUUGGUGAGGUAAUGGCUCACCAAGGCGACGAUCCGUAGCUGGUCUGAGAGGAUAGAUCAGCCACAUCGGGACUGAUACACGGCCCGAACUCCUAC
rnacentral:rRNA from 1 species